rnacentral:rRNA from 1 species
GACAGAGGGUGCAAACGUUGUUCGGAAUUACUGGGCGUAAAGCGCGUGUAGGCGGCCAUCUAAGUCGGGCGUGAAAUCCCACGGCUCAACCGUGGAAGUGCACUCGAAACUGGAUGGCUAGAGUCCUGGAGAGGAAGGUGGAAUGCUUGGUGUAGAGGUGAAAUUCGUAGAUAUCAAGCGGAACACCGGUGGCGAAGGCGGCCUUCUGGACGGUAACUGACGCUGAGACGCGAAAGCGUGGGGAGCAAACAGG